AUGAUCGAGGCAAUUGUGAGGUUCCGCCAUGGGGCGGCAGGUAGUCAGUCAAUGCCAUCUGCACAAGACUAUCAGGAUGCUGAGAUAGACCUACUGAGACGAGUUCAGUUAGACUGCUUUGAGGAAGACUUUCAACACCUUUCAGAAAGAAAACCCGUCCCUUCCACCAGCCGUUUGAUUACAUUAGCUCCUGAAUAUGAUGAUCAACUGAAGCUGAUUCGGGUUGGAGGCAGAUUGCGUCAGACUACCUUGCUGGACACAGAAGCCAUUCAUCCCAUAGUUCUGGAUCCAGCUCACCAGGUGACUAAACUUAUCAUUCAAGAUGCUGACCGAGACCUCCAUCAUCCAGGCUCAGAGCGAUUAUUUGCAGAACUUCGCAGACGAUACUGGAUUCUUCGUGGAAGAGAAGCUGUGAAGCGGCACCAGUUCUCCUGUCCUGAUUGUCGGAGAUGGAGAGCGAAGCCUGCAGUGCCACAAAUGGCAGACUUACCUCCCGCCCGUCUGCGGUUGAUGAAGCCUCCUUACUUCUCUACCGGAAUGGAUUGUUUCGGGCCCUUCACGGUCAAAAUCGGACGGCGUAAUGAGAAACGUUGGGGUAUACUAUUUAAGUGCCUCACUACCCGAGCAGUCCAUAUCGACGUCCUGACUAGUCUCGACCAGGAUUCCUUCCUGAUGGCCCUCCGCAGAUUUAUCUCACGCAGGGGAAAACCAGCGGAGCUUCUGUCGGAUCAGGGCACGAAUUUCAGAGGAGGUGAGAGGGAAAUCCAUGAAUCUUUCAAGGCACUGCACCCCACUUUACAGGCAGAACUGGCCAAACAUCAGAUCCAGUUUAGAUUUAACCCUCCAAGUGCCCCUCACUUUGGUGGUGCAUGGGAGAGGGAAAUUAAAUCUAUCAAAGCUGCCCUGUAUGCAACAAUUCAGAUGCAGACGGUGACAGAAGAAGUCCUGCGCACGGUCCUGAUUGAGAUCGAGGGCAUCCUAAACUCUAAGCCCUUGGGGUAUGUGUCCAGUGACGUCGCGGACCCUGAUCCAGUAACCCCCAAUUUGCUUGUGAUGGGGCGGCCCGACCCCUCACUGCCCCAGGUGUUGUGUCCUGAGUCCGAGCUGUUGAGCCGCCGCCGCUGGAGGCAUACACAGGUCCUUGCCGACCAAUUUUGGAGGGCAUUUAUCAGGCACUAUCUGCCGGCCCUGCAAACGCGCACCAAGUGGCAGAAAGAUGUGGCCCCAUUACAACCUGGUACUGUCGUCAUGAUCAUUGAUCCGCAGCUCCCGAGGGCGCUCUGGCCUAUUGGUCGCAUCACAAAGGUUAUCCCAGGUGCAGAUGGGAGGAUAAGGACAGCGGAGAUCCAGGUGAACGACAGGAAAUACAUCAGGCCAGUUGCCCGUCUUGUUCAACUUCCUGCCAUACCUGAGACAGCACCUGAGACCAACAGUCCUUCUAUGGGACAGCAAAUUUGA
rnacentral:lncRNA from 1 species